rnacentral:rRNA from 1 species
CAGCCGCCGCGGGAAUACGUAGGGGGCAAGCGUUAUCCGGAAUUACUGGGUGUAAAGGGAGCGUAGACGGUUAAACAAGUCUGAAGUGAAAUGCCGGGGCUCAACCCCGGAGCUGCUUUGGGAACUGUAGAACUGGAGUGUCGGAGGGGUAAGCGGAAUUCCCAGUGUAGCGGUGAAAUGCGUAGAUAUUGGGAGGAACACCAAUGGCAAAAGCACUCUGCUAGGCUGACACUUACACUGAGAGACGAAAGCUAGGGGAGAAAAUGGGAUUAGAUACCCGGGUAGUCCCUGUCUCUUAUAC